rnacentral:rRNA from 1 species
UACGUAGGGUCCGAGCGUUGUCCGGAGUUACUGGGCGUAAAGCGCGCGCAGGUGGCGGUGCUGGCCCGGCGUGAAAGCCCCCGGCUCAACCGGGGAGAGUCGUCGGGGACCGCACCGCUUGAGGGCGGUAGGGGCUGGUGGAAUGCCUGGUGUAGUGGUGAAAUGCGUAGAGAUCAGGCAGAACACCUGGGGCGAAGGCGGCCAGCUGGGCCGUCCCUGACGCUGAGGCGCGAAGGCGUGGGGAGCGAACGGG